rnacentral:rRNA from 1 species
UUUUCNCCCAGCUUUCGGGAUCGUUACAACUCUGUUGUUACGGGAAGAACAAGUGCUCGUUGAAUAAGCUGGCACCUUGAACGGUUCCUAACCAGUAAAGCCACGGCUAACUACGUGCCAUCAGCCGCGGUAAUAAGUAGGUGGCAAGCGUUAUCCGGAAUUAUUGGGCGUAAGCGCGCGCCGGUGGUUUCUUAAGUCUGAUGUGAAAGCCCACGGCUCAACCGUGGAAGGGUCAUUGGNAAACUGGGAGACUUGAGUGCAUAAUACGGAAAGUGGAAUUCCAUGUGUAGCGGUGAAAUGCGUAGAGAUAUGGAGGAACACCAAGUGGCGAACGCGACUUUCUGGUCUGUAACUGACACUGAAGCNCGAAANCGUGGGGAAGCAAACAGGGAUUACAUACCCUGGUAGUCCACGCCGUAAACGAUGAGUGCUAAGUGUUAGAGGGUUUCCGCCCUUUAGUGCUGAAGUUAACGCAUUAAGCACUCCGCCUGGGGAGUACGGCCGCAAGGCUGAAACUCAAAGGAAUUGACGGGGGCCCGCACAAGCGGU